GUUUUCAAAAUUUUCGGUCAACAAGUUUUCUUUUGUAAAUAUUUAUUUAUCUUAGGUUUAAGUAUAAAGUGUUUAAAAUAGGUUAAGUUGUGAUAUCUUAGGUUUAAGCAUAAUUUGUCGAGAAGACAACACAGAUGAAGCCAUACAGAACAAAAAAAACAGAGAAAUAAGCAGGUGAAAGAAAGUAAGCAUACACAAACGGCAGAAAGGAAAAAUACUAAAAAAAAAAUUACCAGACUUACGCUAGCAAUGAAUGCAAAUGGAAACGGAAAGAACUUACCUUGAUAGAAAAUAAAACGCAGUAAAGGAACUACUACAACAAUACUAAUAACUAUAACUAGCUCUAAUCAAGUACCAAUUAGUAUCGCAUAGCAAGUUCCAAUUAGCAACGCAUAACAAUUCCCUAAGAGGAUCGCAUAAGGGGCCUUUGGGAAACGAUUAUGAUGUGGAUCGCAUAAAUCCUGAUUAAGAAUACCGGAUGUACGAGGAGGCAGUCACAAUGGAUAGAAGAAAGUAAAAUGUAAAGAAAGCAAAGAACCAGCAAAAAAAGAAAAAAAUGGAAAAAAGUCCUGAAAAAAUGUGUAAAAAAAAAAACGAAGAGUAACGGAAACCUAACACAAAAAGACAACUACAAAAUUAUGGUAACUCGAGGAAAAGCCUCUCCAAGGAUCAAAAAUCAAAUAGGGAAAGCUCCUUCGAACCGACUACCGGCAUCGGAAAACUUCUUGGACGUUGAAGCAGCAUUUAUAUCCCUCCAAAGUGCUGUCUUCUCGUCCAGUGCAAAGAGUCGAGCCCGAGAUCCUAACUGGGACUUUUAAUUGAUUAAUAUUUAAGUCUACUUAACUGGCUUACAAAAAUAUACUGAACAAAAAAAGACAAUUACAAAAUUAUGGUAACUCGAGGAAAAGAAUCUCUAAGGCUCCGAAAUCAAACAGGGAAAGCUCCUUAGGACCGACUACCGGCAUCGGAACACUUCUUGGACGUUGAAGCAGCAUUUAUAUCCCUCCAAAGUGCUGUCUUCUCGUCCAGUGGAAAGAAUCGAGGAGAGAUCCUAACUGGGACUUUUACUUGAGCAAUAUUUUAGUCUACUUAACUGGCUCACAAAAAUA